rnacentral:rRNA from 1 species
CCUACGGGAGGCAGCAGUAGGGAAUCUUCCACAAUGGACGAAAGUCUGAUGGAGCAACGCCGCGUGAGUGAAGAAGGGUUUCGGCUCGUAAAGCUCUGUUGGUAGUGAAGAAAGAUAGAGGUAGUAACUGACCUUUAUUUGACGGUAAUUACUUAGAAAGUCACGGCGAACUACGUGCCAGCAGCCGCGGUAAUACGUAGGUGGCAAGCGUUGUCCGGAUUUAUUGGGCGUAACGCGAGUGCAGGCGGUUCAACAAGUCUGAUGUGAAAGCCUUCGGCUCAACCGCGGAAUUGCAUCAGAAACUGUUGAACUUGAGUGCAGAAGGGGAGAGUGGAACUCCAUGUGUAGCGGUGGAAUGCGUAGAUAUAUGGAAGAACACCAGUGGCGAAGGCGGCUUUCUGGUCUGCAACUGACGCUGAGGCUCGAAAGCAUGGGUAGCGAACAGGAUUAGAUACCCGGGUAGUC